rnacentral:rRNA from 1 species
GGGUUGUGAGGUUAAGCGACUAAGCGUACACGGUGGAUGCCCUGGCAGUCAGAGGCGAUGAAGGGCGUGCUAAUCUGCGAUAAGCGCCGGUAAGGUGAUAUGAACCGUUAUAACCGGCGAUACCCGAAUGGGGAAACCCAGUGUGAUUCGUCACACUAUCAUUAACUGAAUCCAUAGGUUAAUGAGGCGAACCGGGGGAACUGAAACAUCUAAGUACCCCGAGGAAAAGAAAUCAACCGAGAUUCCCCCAGUAGCGGCGAGCGAACGGGGAGGAGCCCAGAGCCUGAAUCAGCAUGUGUGUUAGUGGAAGCGUCUGGAAAGGCGCGCGAUACAGGGUGACAGCCCCGUACACAAAAGCGCAUGUGCUGUGAGCUCGAUGAGUAGGGCGGGACACGUGGUAUCCUGUCUGAAUAUGGGGGGACCAUCCUCCAAGGCUAAAUACUCCUGACUGACCGAUAGUGAACCAGUACCGUGAGGGAAAGGCGAAAAGAACCCCGGCGAGGGGAGUGAAAAAGAACCUGAAACCGUGUACGUACAAGCAGUGGGAGCACCCUUCGGGGUGUGACUGCGUACCUUUUGUAUAAUGGGUCAGCGACUUAUAUUCUGUAGCAAGGUUAACCGAAUAGGGGAGCCGGAGGGAAACCGAGUCUUAAUUGGGCGUUAAGUUGCAGGGUAUAGACCCGAAACCCGGUGAUCUAGCCAUGGGCAGGUUGAAGGUUGGGUAACACUAACUGGAGGACCGAACCGACUAAUGUUGAAAAAUUAGCGGAUGACCUGUGGCUGGGGGUGAAAGGCCAAUCAAACCGGGAGAUAGCUGGUUCUCCCCGAAAGCUAUUUAGGUAGCGCCUCGUGAAUUCAUCUCCGGGGGUAGAGCACUGUUUCGGCUAGGGGGCCAUCCCGGCUUACCAACCCGAUGCAAACUGCGAAUACCGGAGAAUGUUAUCACGGGAGACACACGGCGGGUGCUAACGUCCGUCGUGAAGAGGGAAACAACCCAGACCGCCAGCUAAGGUCCCAAAGUCAUGGUUAAGUGGGAAACGAUGUGGGAAGGCCCAGACAGCCAGGAUGUUGGCUUAGAAGCAGCCAUCAUUUAAAGAAAGCGUAAUAGCUCACUGGUCGAGUCGGCCUGCGCGGAAGAUGUAACGGGGCUAAACCAUGCACCGAAGCUGCGGCAGCGAACGUAUCACCCAAGACAACUUUGCGGAGUUGACGAUUGACGGAGCGAAGCGACGUCAAAGCGUUCAUUAAAGUCGAGUUGGCUUAGGGAUACGUUCGUUGGGUAGGGGAGCGUUCUGUAAGCCUGUGAAGGUGUGCUGUGAGGCAUGCUGGAGGUAUCAGAAGUGCGAAUGCUGACAUAAGUAACGAUAAAGCGGGUGAAAAGCCCGCUCGCCGGAAGACCAAGGGUUCCUGUCCAACGUUAAUCGGGGCAGGGUGAGUCGACCCCUAAGGCGAGGCCGAAAGGCGUAGUCGAUGGGAAACGGGUUAAUAUUCCCGUACUUGGUGUUACUGCGAAGGGGGGACGGAGAAGGCUAUGUUGGCCGGGCGACGGUUGUCCCGGUUUAAGCGUGUAGGCUGGUUUUCCAGGCAAAUCCGGAAAAUCAAGGCUGAGGCGUGACGACGAGGCACUACGGUGCUGAAGCAACAAAUGCCCUGCUUCCAGGAAAAGCCUCUAAGCAUCAGGUAACAUCAAAUCGUACCCCAAACCGACACAGGUGGUCAGGUAGAGAAUACCAAGGCGCUUGAGAGAACUCGGGUGAAGGAACUAGGCAAAAUGGUGCCGUAACUUCGGGAGAAGGCACGCUGACAUGUAGGUGAAGUGAUUUACUCAUGGAGCUGAAGUCAGUCGAAGAUACCAGCUGGCUGCAACUGUUUAUUAAAAACACAGCACUGUGCAAACACGAAAGUGGACGUAUACGGUGUGACGCCUGCCCGGUGCCGGAAGGUUAAUUGAUGGGGUCAGCGCAAGCGAAGCUCCUGAUCGAAGCCCCGGUAAACGGCGGCCGUAACUAUAACGGUCCUAAGGUAGCGAAAUUCCUUGUCGGGUAAGUUCCGACCUGCACGAAUGGCGUAAUGAUGGCCAGGCUGUCUCCACCCGAGACUCAGUGAAAUUGAACUCGCUGUGAAGAUGCAGUGUACCCGCGGCAAGACGGAAAGACCCCGUGAACCUUUACUAUAGCUUGACACUGAACAUUGAGCCUUGAUGUGUAGGAUAGGUGGGAGGCUUUGAAGCGUGGACGCCAGUCUGCGUGGAGCCGACCUUGAAAUACCACCCUUUAAUGUUUGAUGUUCUAACGUGGACCCGUGAUCCGGGUUGCGGACAGUGUCUGGUGGGUAGUUUGACUGGGGCGGUCUCCUCCUAAAGAGUAACGGAGGAGCACGAAGGUUGGCUAAUCCUGGUCGGACAUCAGGAGGUUAGUGCAAUGGCAUAAGCCAGCUUGACUGCGAGCGUGACGGCGCGAGCAGGUGCGAAAGCAGGUCAUAGUGAUCCGGUGGUUCUGAAUGGAAGGGCCAUCGCUCAACGGAUAAAAGGUACUCCGGGGAUAACAGGCUGAUACCGCCCAAGAGUUCAUAUCGACGGCGGUGUUUGGCACCUCGAUGUCGGCUCAUCACAUCCUGGGGCUGAAGUAGGUCCCAAGGGUAUGGCUGUUCGCCAUUUAAAGUGGUACGCGAGCUGGGUUUAGAACGUCGUGAGACAGUUCGGUCCCUAUCUGCCGUGGGCGCUGGAGAACUGAGGGGGGCUGCUCCUAGUACGAGAGGACCGGAGUGGACGCAUCACUGGUGUUCGGGUUGUCAUGCCAAUGGCACUGCCCGGUAGCUAAAUGCGGAAGAGAUAAGUGCUGAAAGCAUCUAAGCACGAAACUUGCCCCGAGAUGAGUUCUCCCUGAGACUUAAAGUCUCCUGAAGGAACGUUGAAGACGACGACGUUGAUAGGCCGGGUGUGUAAGCGCAGCGAUGCGUUGAGCUAACCGGUACUAAUGAACCGUGAGGCUUAACCUUACAACGCCGAAG